UGCCCGAUNNAGUGGGGGACAACGUUUCGAAAGGAACGCUAAUACCGCAUACGUCCUACGGGAGAAAGUGGGGGGUCUUCGGACCUCACGCUAUCGGAUGAGCCUAGGUCGGAUUAGCUAGUUGNNGGGGUAAAGGCCCACCAAGGCGACGAUCCGUAACUGGUCUGAGAGGAUGAUCAGUCACACUGGAACUGAGACACGGUCCAGACUCCUACGGGAGGCAGCAGUGGGGAAUAUUGGACAAUGGGCGAAAGCCUGAUCCAGCCAUGCNGCGUGUGUGAAGAAGGUCUUCGGAUUGUAAAGCACUUUAAGUUGGGAGGAAGGGCUGUAAGUUAAUACCUUGCAGUUUUGUCGUUACCGACAGAAUAAGCACCGGCUNACUUCGUGCCAGCAGCCGCGGUAAUACGAAGGGUGCAACCGUUAAUCGGAAUUACUGGGCGUAAAGCGCGCGUAGGUGGUUUGGUANGUUGGAUGNGAAAGCCAACGGGCUCAACCUGGGAACUGCAUCCAAAACUGCCUGACUAGAGUACGGUAGAGGGUGUGGAAUUUCCUGUGUAGCGGGGAAAUGCGUAGAUAUAGGAAGNAACACCAGUGGCGAAGGCGACCACCUGGACUGAUACUGACACNGAGGUGCGAAAGCGUGGGGAGCAAACAGGAUUAGAUACCCUGGUAGUCCACGCCGUAAACGAUGUCGNCUACCCGUUGGGCUCCUUGAGAGCUUAGUGGCGCAGCUAACGCAUUAAGUCGACCGCCUGGGGAGUACGGCCGCAAGGUUAAAAC
rnacentral:rRNA from 1 species